rnacentral:tRNA from 1 species
UGUACGUUAACUCAAUGGUUAGAGUACAUGGCUUAUGUCCAGUUAGUUAUCGGUUCGAGUCCGAUACGCACAA